CCUACGGGAGGCAGCAGUGAGGAAUAUUGGUCAAUGGGCGGAAGCCUGAACCAGCCAAGUAGCGUGCGGGAUGAAGGCCCUACGGGUCGUAAACCGCUUGUGCACGGGGAUAACACCCACCACUUGUGGAGGUCUGCAGGUACCGUGCGAAUAAGGGCCGGCUAAUUCCGUGCCAGCAGCCGCGGUAAGACGGAAGGCCCGAGCGUUAUCCGGAUUCAUUGGGCUUAAAGGGAGCGUAGGCGGGCGUUCAAGUCAGCUGUAAAAUCGCGCGGCUCAACCGCGCCCCGCAGUUGAAACUGGACGCCUUGAGUUCACAACAGCCAGGCGGAAUUCGUGGUGUAGCGGUGAAAUGCAUACAUAUCACGAAGAACUCCUAUUGCGACGGCAGCUCACUGGACUGCACCUGACACUGAGGCUCGAAAGUGUGGGUAUCAAACAGGAUUAGCUACCCCUGUAGUC
rnacentral:rRNA from 1 species